AGUUUAGAAAACAAAAAAAAAAAAAAAAAGAAGAAUGAUUGAAAGUUAGUUGAGGUUGCCAAAAUUUUGCAAACCUACCAGACAAACAACCUCCACCUUCCAAUUUCAUUGUGGCGCCCCGCCCAGCCCCCAAUACGUAUUGCGACUCGCUAGUCCCUACAGCAUUCUUGCUCCGGGACUAUUUCCAAGUGCAGCGCGCGCGCAUUGUAAAACACAUUCUUUCUUUCUUAAUUCCGGGUAUAGUAGUGCCUCAAUACUGUUCCUGCUAUCUACGAUGUGGCGGUCACUUUGGCCUACAAUCGACCGCUUCUCUCUUCACCACUUCAGAUAUAUUGUAAACCAACUGCGGGAAAUCAGAGUCGUUGACAAGCGCAACCGGGAAGUAGUUUUGGAUUUGCUUCAAUCAAUUGUGGAAAUAGUUACCUAUGGCGAUCGGCAUGAUCCAGCGAUUUUCGAAUGUUUCAUGGAAUUUCAAGUUUUAGCAGAGUUUGUUCGUAUACUAAAGAUUGGUGGGAAUUCAGGAAUUGAGGCACCACUCUUGCAGUAUUUGAGCAUAAUGAUCCAGAACGUGGAAAAUGAACAUGCCAUCUACUAUUGUUUCAGCAAUGGCUAUAUCAACAGCGUAAUAUCACAUCAUUAUGAGUUCGAUGGGGGAGAUCUAAUUCCUUAUUAUGUAUCCUUUCUGAGAACAGUUAGUGGGAAAAUAGGUAGAGACACAAUCUGUCUUCUUGUAAAGGUUCACCAGGACACUGCAAUCUCAUUGCCGUUGUAUGAUGAGGCUCUUAAAUUUGCUAACCAUGGGGAAAAGAUGAUACAGAUAGCAGUUCGUGCACUGACCCUUAACAUUUAUAAUGUUGCUGAUGAGAUGGUCUAUCAAUUUCUAACAACUCCUACUGCUUCUGCAUACUUUUCUAGCUUGAUUCUGAAUUUAAAAAAUAAGUGCUUGCAUGUUGAUGCUAUCAUCAAUGGGGUAAAGGAGAGUUUCCAUGAAAAGAAAAGAGACCUUCUUUCAGAAACUGAUAGAAUUUUGGAUGACUUCUAUUACCUGAAGGACAUACUGUGCAUUCCUGAGCAGCGCUUGAACAAACUUGUUACAGAGAACAUUGUUAACAUGCUUAUUUUGCCGAUGUUGCUUACUCUACUAAACAAUAGGCUAAGCAAUGACACUGGUCUAUCUGCAAUCACUUGUCUCUAUGUUCUUUGUCGUCUUCUUCAAGUUUUUGAUGGAACGAAUUUGGUUAAUGUUAUCGGCAGUGCUGUUCUAUUUUCUUUUAUGCCUCCGAAUGUGACAGAUGCUGCUGAGUCUGUUGUAUCUGCUAGACUUGAGCAGGUGAAUGGUCUUGCAGUCUGUUAUCAGGAAGGGGAAGAAAUGGUAGAUCUUCAGCAUGAGGGGGCAGAAAACUUCAUGAUGAACUAUGUUCUUAAGCAUUCAUUGGAGUUCACAGAACUGAGCUCUUGUUUUGACAGUUCACCGCUGGAGAAUUCGGAAAAUGAAUGGGGUGGAAUAUUUAGUUGUAUUUUCUCCCGUAAUCACAGUCUAAUGCUAGGUUCUUUGAUGUUAUUGUUUACAGUGGCUGACAGUAAAGAUCUUCAUUACCAGUUGGCUGCAAAGAUAGGAUUUUCUCAAGUAAAGACUGCUUCAGAGAUGAUUGGAAGCACUUUUGCGGGACACAUACAGAAGAUUGUGAAUCAAUUAUUGAAGGUUUUGGCGAGUGAACCACCAUUGUCAGUACCAAUAUUGUUGCAUGCAGCUUGGUUUUUGCGAAAGUUGUUGGUUUUUCUGGACCAGAAGUUAGAGGACAAUGAUUGUCACCUCUUCAAGACCUCAUAUGAGGUCUCUUGUGGACAUCUUUAUGAAGAAUUUGAUCGAUGCUGGUUUGACCAUAUUCCAGAUGUGUUAAAAAGCGAAUGGGCCAACUGUAAAACAGCACUUGAAGAAUCAUCACAGUCCAAGGAUCCUUUCUUUCUUCUAGAACUUGCAUCUAUUCAAAAUCCUCCAAGUGGUAGUAUGGCGUUUCUUCUACUCUCUUCCUUCCUUCUUUUAUUCAUGUUUCUUUUGUUUUAUCUCUGCUGUCUGCUUUUAAAAAGUAUAGUCUUACCACCUGCUAGUUUUCUAUUUAACAUCUCAGGCAAUACCGGUCCUGCUUUUGAUUGGCAACGGAUGGUUGAUUGUGUCAAGGUUUUUGUUCUCCAUCUUCAACUGAAGCCAUUUAUUUUUGGGGGUGAUCCUUUUGAUAAUCCUUUGGCAAAUUUGAAAAACAGCUACUUGGCUCAAUCGGGGAAAAGAUAUCCUUCAGAUCUUUCAUUGGCAAGCUUCGGUUCAGAGGUUCUGGAAUCCCCUGUAAAAUUGCAUUUUCUGGAGCUGGGACAAGAGAUAUUUAUGUGAUACCAAUUGCAAGGGAAAUAUCUGGUAAAUUGCUACUUGUGGAACGGCAUCCGUUACACUCUAGAAAAGGAGUUGUAAUUGCCAUUGCUCCAUUGGCUGGAUUGGAUCCCAAGAUAGACGAGGAGCAUCCUACAUGGUUGCUAGUGCAUCUUAGAGACUUUGAGCCAAGACUCCGAUCAGAUGAGACGAAAACACUCGACUCCCAUACAUCACUCCCUGAACAAGGAAGAUGGAUACUUGGAUUUUUGAGCGCCAAAGAUUGCAAGGCUGCUUUCUCGGUGAUACUCGAGGAAACCAGAAAACAGAGGUCCUUUGUGGAGAACUUGGUUGCUCCGGUACUGGAAGAGAAAUUGUUCAAAUAGUCGUCAACAAAAUGCUGGGGCAGUUUGAAUGCCGAGUAACAGCUCCUAUAACCCACAACACAUUAAUAAUACCCUGUACAUCUCCUCCUUGUUUUUGUUGAUGAAGCUAAUUGGAUUAUAAGCACGCCUUGUGGUUUUCUAUUCCCUCCAUGUAUUAUAUCUGCCUCUCUAGCAGCAAUGACAAAAACAACACAACGUAUUGAUAAAAGCGACAGGCUCUGCUACAGGAUUUUUUU